GCUCCGUUGGUGAACCAGCGGAGGGAUCAUUACAGGACUCGCAAGACUCCUUACACCCUGUGAACCUUACUGUAUACGCGUUGCUUCGGCGGGUCCGCCCGCCGGCAGCAUACCACAUUCUGUUUCUCUGCGUUGGCAUCUCGAGAAAAAAGCAAAUAAGUUAAAACUUUCAACAACGGAUCUCUUGGUUCUG
rnacentral:misc_RNA from 1 species